rnacentral:rRNA from 1 species
AGUGAACGCUGGCGGUAGGCCUAACACAUGCAAGUCGAACGGCAGCACAGUAAGAGCUUGCUCUUACGGGUGGCGAGUGGCGGACGGGUGAGGAAUACAUCGGAAUCUACUUUUUCGUGGGGGAUAACGUAGGGAAACUUACGCUAAUACCGCAUACGACCUACGGGUGAAAGCAGGGGAUCUUCGGACCUUGCGCGAUUGAAUGAGCCGAUGUCGGAUUAGCUAGUUGGCGGGGUAAAGGCCCACCAAGGCGACGAUCCGUAGCUGGUCUGAGAGGAUGAUCAGCCACACUGGAACGGAGACACGGUCCAGACUACUACGGGAGGCAGCAGUGGGGAAUAUUGGACAAUGGGCGCAAGCCUGAUCCAGCCAUACCGCGUGGGUGAAGAAGGCCUUCGGGUUGUAAAGCCCUUUUGUUGGGAAAGAAAAGCAGCAGGUUAAUACCCCGCUGUUCUGACGGUACCCAAAGAAUAAGCACCGGCUAACUUCGUG